AGUGAACGCUGGCGGUAGGCCUAACACAUGCAAGUCGAACGGCAGCACAGUAAGAGCUUGCUCUUACGGGUGGCGAGUGGCGGACGGGUGAGGAAUACAUCGGAAUCUACUUUUUCGUGGGGGAUAACGUAGGGAAACUUACGCUAAUACCGCAUACGACCUACGGGUGAAAGCAGGGGAUCUUCGGACCUUGCGCGACUGAAUGAGCCGAUGUCGGAUUAGCUAGUUGGCGGGGUAAAGGCCCACCAAGGCGACGAUCCGUAGCUGGUCUGAGAGGAUGAUCAGCCACACUGGAACUGAGACACGGUCCAGACUCCUACGGGAGGCAGCAGUGGGGAAUAUUGGACAAUGGGCGCAAGCCUGAUCCAGCCAUACCGCGUGGGUGAAGAAGGCCUUCGGGUUGUAAAGCCCUUUUGUUGGGAAAGAGAAGCAGCAGGUUAAUACCCCGCUGUUCUGACGGUACCCAAAGAAUAAGCACCGGCUAACUUCGUG
rnacentral:rRNA from 1 species